CAUUCACGGAGAGUUUGAUCCUGGCUCAGGACGAACGCUGGCGGCGUGCUUAACACAUGCAAGUCGAACGAUGAAGCCCUUCGGGGUGGAUUAGUGGCGAACGGGUGAGUAACACGUGGGCAAUCUGCCCUGCACUCUGGGACAAGCCCUGGAAACGGGGUCUAAUACCGGAUAUGACCGUCCAUCGCAUGGUGGGUGGUGUAAAGCUCCGGCGGUGCAGGAUGAGCCCGCGGCCUAUCAGCUAGUUGGUGAGGUAGUGGCUCACCAAGGCGACGACGGGUAGCCGGCCUGAGAGGGCGACCGGCCACACUGGGACUGAGACACGGCCCAGACUCCUACGGGAGGCAGCAGUGGGGAAUAUUGCACAAUGGGCGAAAGCCUGAUGCAGCGACGCCGCGUGAGGGAUGACGGCCUUCGGGUUGUAAACCUCUUUCAGCAGGGAAGAAGCGAAAGUGACGGUACCUGCAGAAGAAG
rnacentral:rRNA from 1 species